UACGUAGGGUGCAAGCGUUGUCCGGAUUUAUUGGGCGUAAAGAGCUCGUAGGCGGUCUGUCGCGUCGGAUGUGAAAACCCAGGGCUCAACCCUGGGCCUGCAUUCGAUACGGGCAGACUAGAGUAUGGCAGGGGAGACUGGAAUUCCUGGUGUAGCGGUGAAAUGCGCAGAUAUCAGGAGGAACACCGGUGGCGAAGGCGACUACCUGGCCCACUCUUGACGCUGAGGCGCGAAAGCUAGGGGAGCGAACGGG
rnacentral:rRNA from 1 species